UCGGUGCCCGAGUGGUUAAUGGGGACGGAUUGUAAAUCCGUUGGCUAUGCCUACGCUGGUUCAAAUCCAGCCCGGCC
rnacentral:tRNA from 1 species